GAUCCUGGCUCAGGAUGAACGCUAGCGAUAGGCUUAACACAUGCAAGUCGAGGGGCAGCAUGGUCUUAGCUUGCUAAGACUGAUGGCGACCGGCGCACGGGUGCGUAACGCGUAUGCAACUUGCCUCGACAGAGGGGGAUAACCCGUCGAAAGACGGACUAAUACCGCGUACACUUGGGAUAGGGCAUCCUAUCCCAAGGAAAUGAAAUUCGCUAGUGAGAUAGGCAUGCG
rnacentral:rRNA from 1 species